GAUGAACGCUGGCGGCGUGCCUAAUACAUGCAAGUCGAGCGAACAGACGAGGAGCUUGCUCCUCUGACGUUAGCGGCGGACGGGUGAGUAACACGUGGAUAACCUACCUAUAAGACUGGGAUAACUUCGGGAAACCGGAGCUAAUACCGGAUAAUAUAUUGAACCGCAUGGUUCAAUAGUGAAAGACGCUUUUGCUGUCACUUAUAGAUGGAUCCGCGUCGCAUUAGCUAGUUGGUAAGGUAACGGCUUACCAAGGCAACGAUGCGUAGCCGACCUGAGAGGGUGAUCGGCCACACUGGAACUGAGACACGGUCCAGACUCCUACGGGAGGCAGCAGUAGGGAAUCUUGCGCAAUGGGCGAAAGCCUGACGGAGCAACGCCGCGUGAGUGAUGAAGGUCUUCGGAUCGUAAAACUCUGUUAUUAGGGAAGAACAAAUGUGUAAGUAACUAUGCACGUCUUGACGGUACCUAAUCAGAAAGCCACGGCUAACUACGUG
rnacentral:rRNA from 1 species